rnacentral:rRNA from 1 species
GACGAACGCUGGCGGCGCGCUUAACACAUGCAAGUCGAACGGAAAGGCCUGCUUUCCCUUGUGGAUUGCGGGUACUCGAGUGGCGAACGGGUGAGUAACACGUGAGUGAUCUGCCCCCAACUUGGGUAUAAGCCUGGGAAACUGGGUCUAAUUCCCGAUAGGACUGCAGGGUGGUGCCUGUGGUGGAAAACGAUUUUCUAGUGGUUGGGGAUGAGCUCGCGGCCUAUCAGCUUGUUGGUGGGGUAAUGGCCUACCAAGGCGGCGACGGGUAGCCGGCCUGGGAGGGUGGACGGCCACAUUGGGACUGAGAUACGGCCCAGACUCCUACGGGAGGCAGCAGUGGGGAAUAUUGCACAAUGGGCGGAAGCCUGAUGCAGCGACGCCGCGUGGGGGAUGACGGCCUUCGGGUUGUAAACUCCUUUCGACCGAGAGGAAGCCACCUGGUUGGAAGGGUGGUGACGGUAGUGGUAGAAGAAGCACCGGCUAACUACGUG